AGACCAGCCUGGCCAACAUGGUGAAACCCUGUCUCUACCAAAAAUACAAAAAAAACAAUGUACCGGGCAUGGUGGCACGCAUCUGUAAUCCCAGCUACUCGGGAGGCUGAGGCACGAGAAUCGCUUGAACUCAGGAGGUGGAGGUUGCAAUGAGCCAAGAUCCCACCACUGCCCUCCAGCCUGGACUAUAGAAUUGAGGGAAGCAGUUGCCCCUCCUAAUGUGGGUGGACUUCAUCCAAUCCACGGAAGACCUGAAUAGAGCAAAAGUCGGUCCUUUCCGAAGUAAGAGAGAAUUCCUCCUGCCUGAAGGUUUUUAAACUGCACCAUUGGCUUUUUUCUGCCUUUGUACUCAGACUGAAACACUGCUCUUUCCGGGUUUCGAGCCUGCUGGCCUUAGGACUGGAACUAACACCAUCAGUUCUCUGGGGUCUCCAGUUUGCUGCCUCGCCCUGCAGAUGACAGCACUUGUUAGCCUCCAUAAUUGCGUGAAAUCUCUUUCUCUGUUUAGACAUUGGUUCUGUUUCUCUGGAAAACCCCAGUCAAUACAGGCGGUGAUCAUAUUUUGAGGAUUAAAUGAUACAAUGAAUAGAAUAUGCUUAACACACAGUGAGUGCUUGGCACAUAUGAUCUCCUCAAUACACAUCAGCUUUAUCAUGGAAAUUAUUAUGUAUCAUUAUACAAAAUAUAAUAAGAUUUCAAACUUGUGUUCUCUUACAUGUCCUCUAAAUUAUUCAAUGGAACAAAAAACUCUUCACUCAUUUUUGUGUGUAUGCAAACUUAAUGUCUUUCAAUAAA
rnacentral:lncRNA from 1 species